rnacentral:rRNA from 1 species
GACGAACGUUGGCGGCGUGCUUAAUACAUGCAAGUCAACUGAAGCAGUGGUAGCAAUAUCGCUGUGGAGGUGGCGCACGGGUGAGUAACACGUAGGUAAUCUGCCUUCAUGUCUGGCAUAACUCCGGGAAACCGGGGCUAAUAGCAGAUGAUGCAGCGGCUCGACAUCGAGACAGUUGUUAAAGCUAUAGCGCCUUAAGAUGAGCCUGCGUCUGAUUAGCUAGUUGGCGGGGUAACGGCCCACCAAGGCAACGAUCAGUAGCUGGUCUGAGAGGAUGAUCAGCCACACUGGAACUGAGACACGGUCCAGACUCCUACGGGAGGCAGCAGUAAGGAAUAUUGCUCAAUGGGAGAAAUCCUGAAGCAGCAACGCCGCGUGAGGGACGAAGGGCUUUUGCUUGCAAACCUCUGUAGUGAGAGAAAAAAAUCCCAAUCUUUGGGACAUGAUGGUAUCUCAAAAGUAAGCCCCGGCUAACUACGUG